rnacentral:ncRNA from 1 species
GAACGCCGUAUGAGGUGAAAGUCUCACGUACGGUGUGAAGUGGGGGAAAAGAGUUCCUAACGAGUAAUGUCGAGGUUGUCUCUUACCUAUCACUAU